rnacentral:misc_RNA from 1 species
GAUGAAGAACGUAGCGAAAUGCGAUAAGUAAUGUGAAUUGCAGAAUUCAGUGAAUCAUCGAAUCUUUGAACGCACAUUGCGCCCGCUGGUAUUCCGGCGGGCAUGCCUGUUCGAGCGUCAUUUCAACCCUCAAGCUCUCCGGAGUUUGGUGUUGGGGCGCCUGGGGCUUUUCGACCUCAGGGCCCUCAAGUCAUCGGCGGGACCGCCAGGACACUGAGCGCAGUAGUAUUAUUUCGCUCGGUAGGAUCUUCCACGGCGGGUCGAUCUGGCCGCUAAACCCCCCAAUUCUCACCAAAGGUUGACCUCGGAUCAGGUAGGAAUACCCGCUGAACUUAAGCAUAUCAAUAAGCGGAGGA